rnacentral:rRNA from 1 species
CUACGGGACGCUGCAGUGGGGAAUAUUGCACAAUGGGCGCAAGCCUGAUGCAGCCAUGCCGCGUGUAUGAAGAAGGCCUUCGGGUUGUAAAGUACUUUCAGCGGGGAGGAAGGGAGUAAAGUUAAUACCUUUGCUCUUUGACGUUACCCGCAGAAGAAGCACCGGCUAACUCCGUGCCAGCAGCCGCGGUAAUACGGAGGGUGCAAGCGUUAAUCGGAAUUACUGGGCGCAAAGCGCACGCAGGCGGUUUGUUAAGUCAGAUGUGAAAUCCCCGGGCUCAACCUGGGAACUGCAUCUGAUACUGGCAAGCUUGAGUCUCGUAGAGGGGGGUAGAAUUCCAGGUGUAGCGGUGAAAUGCGUAGAGAUCUGGAGGAAUACCGGUGGCGAAGGCGGCCCCCUGGACGAAGACUGACGCUCAGGUGCGAAAGCGUGGGGAGCAAACAGGAUUAGAUACCCCAGUAGUC